AGUGAACGCUGGCGGUAGGCCUAUCACAUGCAAGUCGAACGGCAGCACAGUAAGAGCUUGCUCUUACGGGUGGCGAGUGGCGGACGGGUGAGGAAUACAUCGGAAUCUACUUUUUCGUGGGGGAUAACGUAGGGAAACUUACGCUAAUACCGCAUACGACCUACGGGUGAAAGCAGGGGAUCUUCGGACCUUGCGCGAUUGAAUGAGCCGAUGUCGGAUUAGCUAGUUGGCGGGGUAAAGGCCCACCAAGGCGACGAUCCGUAGCUGGUCUGAGAGGAUGAUCAGCCACACUGGAACUGAGACACGGUCCAGACUCCUACGGGAGGCAGCAGUGGGGAAUAUUGGACAAUGGGCGCAAGCCUGAUCCAGCAAUACCGCGUGGGUGAAGAAGGCCUUCGGGUUGUAAAGCCCUUUUGUUGGGAAAGAAAAGCAGCAGGUUAAUACCCCGCUGUUCUGACGGUACCCAAAGAAUAAGCACCGGCUAACUUCGUG
rnacentral:rRNA from 1 species